GUGAGGAAUAUUGGACAAUGGGGGCAACCCUGAUCCAGCCAUGCCGCGUGAGUGAAGAAGGCCUUCGGGUUGUAAAGCUCUUUCGGCCGGAACGAAAUCGUGCGAGUGAACAACCCGCGUGGAUGACGGUACCGGAAGAAGAAGCACCGGCUAACUACGUGCCAGCAGCCGCGGUAAUACGUAGGGUGCAAGCGUUAAUCGGAAUGACUGGGCGUAACGCGUGCGCAGGCGGUCGCGUAAGCCAGAUGUGAAAUCCCCGGGCUUAACCUGGGAACUGCAUUUGGGACUGCGUGGCUGGAGUGCGGCAGAGGAAGGUGGAAUUCCUGGUGUAGCAGUGAAAUGCGUAGAGAUCAGGAGGAACACCGAUGGCGAAGGCAGCCUUCUGGGCCAGCACUGACGCUCAUGCACGAAAGCGUGGGGAGCAA
rnacentral:rRNA from 1 species